CUUGAUUCCAUUGGCCAGUAAUUUAGACAAUAAGCUACAUUACUUCCUCAUGCUCGAACAAUUCCCAAGAACUAUUUUAGAGUCCCUGAAACUUGUCACAGAAGGAAUUUGCUCCAUGAGCCAAAUUUACACUGUAUAAUGAAGUGGUAAGUUGCCCUGCCAUUUCCGUAUUUAUUUUAUGAAGAGGUCAGUGGCAAAAAUGAUCAAUGUCAAGAGUCUCCACUCAAAGCAUAUCUGAUGUUACUUAAGGCUGGCUCUGGGUGACAAUAUCACACUUUUCUGGCCUAGGUGGAGGAUUUAGUAAGAUCAGUUAAUUAAUGGCUUUCAUUUUACAAAUCUUUUCUAUAACUAUUACUCAUUCUUUAGUAGACGCUUAUGGAACACCUUCUCCAGGCUUCCUCUAAGUUAGGCAACAGUGUUACAAAGAUGAGUAAGGUGAAGAUAGUAGUCUUAAUAUGCUCACACACUCGUUUGAUCCUGAAAACAACCUGUAAGAUAUGCAGGGCAGAUAUUGUCAUUCCCAUUUUAAAGAGGGAAAAAUGGAAUCUCAGAGAAGUUAAGUGACUUGUUUAGGGCCACACAUCCAGUAAGUGGUAGAACAGUACUUGAAUGCCAGGCUUUACUUCAGUCUAGUUAUCGUUCCAUCAUGUUAACAUAUAUUGAAAACCUGUUGUUUGCCAUAGAACAUGUAUCUUCUCCUCAGCCAACCCUUAUCAUAGACUUUUACUUUAACUUGGCUGCUCAGGAUUUGUAGCCACUUUUUGUGUUUGGAGAAUGCACUGUGAAAUGAGCUUUUAUGGGAGAUGGGUCUCCACUUCUUACUAUGAAAGCCAAAAGGCCCAAACUCUCCCUUUGCGCAUCCCCUGGCAGUUGGGACUCAGGAACGUCAACUAAGCUCAGCCAAUAAGAUAUGUGUCCCUGGAGGUGAGACACCAAAGAACAAAAGAGUGGGGUCAGCCUAGAACUCGUGCUGUGAAGAUGGUGCGUUGGGUGUCCAGCAGUGGCAGAUCCUCAGCCGGGCUGGAUCUUUGGCUGUGAUUCCUUAUGCCUAAUCUUCACUGAUUUUAGACUAUUUUCUGCACUUGGCUUUCAUCCCUUUUAGUCUAUUCUGUGAGCCAUCUAAUUUGCUUUCAAUAAAUUUGUCUGCAAAGUCAGCUUAAGUCAGUUUCUGUUGCUUUCAACCAAGAACUUUGACUAGAAGAGAUCCAUUUUAUAGAUGAAGUAGUGAGUAUUGAUCAGAUUUUGGACAUAUUUUGAAGAGAAAGCUGGCAGAAUUUUUGAAGGAUUGGAUAAGGAGUGUGAGAAAAAGAAGUCAAGGAUGACUUCAGAAUUUUUGGUCUGAAUAACUGAAAGUAAAGCUGCUAUCCGUUCCAGUUCUGUGUUACUACAAACCACUCUCAAAAUAGUGGACUAAGACAACAACCAUUUUUAUUAUCUCCAUUGGCUUUGGCUUUUCACAGCAUAAUGGCUGGGUUUUGAGAAGGUGUGCUCCCUGAGGGCAAACAUUCCAAGAGAACCUCUAAGAAGCUGCAUAGCCUUUUAUGACCCUCAGAACUCACACAGUGUCACUUCCACCGUAUUCUAUGGAUAGAAUUAUUCACAGGCUCAUCCAGACUCAAAGAGGAGGGGACAUUGGAGCCAUGUUUUAAAAUUGUCAUGCUAUUUAUCAGGGAACUCGAAGAAAAGUGGGGAAGAUGGGGAGAGGAACAAGUUGAGAGGGGGAGGUUAUGUGUUUGGACAUCUUAAGUAUAGAUGUCUGUUAGGCGUUCAAGAGGAUAUAUUGGAAUACGCUUGACAGAAAAGUGACCAUCUACACGUUCAACUGUGGAAGACCUUGUGAAAAAAGAGGUGCCCCACGGAAGACGCACAUAAAGUCCGACCCCGAGACCUCGGCGCUAAUGCUUACGUCAUGUUGCGGCAGCAUCGGGCAACAACUGAGGGAGUGGAACCAGCAAGGAUGUUUUCAGGGACUGCACAAAAGCCGAUAUGAGACAUGGCCGCUGUGAUUUAUGGGAAUCAGUGUCCCAACUUAGUCAAGUAGAUCUGAUAAAAAAAAAAAAAGAAAAGAAAAGAAGAGUCUCUCUUUGACAGAGUUUUACAGAAGCAUUUGCUCUUGCCGGUAUUCAUGGGGUGCCAAGGCGUGGUAUUACUCACUGGCUCCUGUCUUGUGAGUCAGGGAAAAGAUUUCAAGCAUCUACCAGGUGGCAAACACUGCACCAGUUGCUCUGAAGUUAAAUGAAAUGGAAGAGAAGGACCCUGUUCUUGUUAAGGAGACAAGGCUAAACCUCUGAAAGAAUGUAAAACAUUACAAAUUAAAUAUAUUGUGUUGUAAUCAUAAUUGCUGGCAUUUUUUUUUGUAGCAUGUUGCAGUUUUCAAAGUAGUUUUGCAAGCGUCUUUUCAUUUGAUACUAGCCGUAUAUGGAGUGUUUACUAUGUGCUGGAUAUCAGAAAUAUUAUUUCAUUUAGUCUUUCUAAGAACCCUAUGAGGUAGGUGCUGUUAAUCUUUACAGAUGAGAUCCUUUGGCAGUUCUGAGGGUAGUCCGAACAAGCUUUUAAAAUAGAUUCAGAAACAGGCUCAUGGAGGAUAAAAGGCUUCCACAGGGUUGUUUGACUUUAAUGACCUCCUCUUUUUAAUCCUUCCUCUUGGACCGGUCUACAGUGAUGCCAGCAUGUGAACUUUCUGACAUUAAAUGUCCUUAAUAGUCUAUCUUUCUACCAACGCUUAUUUAUAUUUUUAGUCCAACACUUUGUGUGAAGAGGCAGGAUACUUUGUGACGGGUUUGUUGAAGGAUCUGUGUAGCCUCCUAGUUCAUGCCCUCUGCCAUAGGUCAUCCACAUGCCUCUGCCCAGACCUUUUCCCCGAGCUUCCAAAUUAUCCCCUGCCCGGCCCCUGACUAGCCAGCUAGUCUCUGUCGGUGAGUUAAUGUGUACUUUGGCCCCUGACCGUUUGUCCUUCUGCACAGAGUGGAAGACGUGCAUCGCUUGAAGCUCCGGUGGCAGUGCAGCAGCAGCUUCGCCUCUUCCUUCCUACGUCACCAGGUCCUGAGGUCUUUCUCACGCAGCCGUAGGAGAGGUCCUGGUGCGACAGUACUGGAGGACAUGUGGUCUGUGCCACUUACUCACGCAGCCUGCAUGUUACUUCCUUGAGCCUCAGUAUCAUACAUUGAGAGUAUUGAGUUUGAUCACUAAGCUCCUUUCCAGUAAGAAAAGUACCUGAUUUUAUGAAAUAGGAGGCAUUAACUCAUAUGCUAUCAGAUCUUUGCAUGGCUGGCUUCUUGUCACUCAGGUCACCUAGUCACUCUAACGUAUGACCCCAGCUUUUUUUUUUUUUGGUGAGGUAGAUUUGUCCUGAGCUAACAUCCACUGCUAGUCUUCCUCUUUUUUUUUUUUUUGCUUGAGGAAGAUUGGCCCUGAGCUAACAUCUGUGCCAAUCUGCCUCUAUUUUGUUUGUGGGUUGCUGCCUCAGCAUGGCUGAGGAGUGGUGUAGUCUGUGCCUGGGAUCUGAACGCGUAAACCUGGGCCACCAAAGUGGAGUGGGCCGAACUUAACCACUAUGCCACCAGGCCGGCCCCCCCAGCUUUUAAUUUUAGAUAGUGAUAUGUGCAAGGAAGAAAUUCCUUCCUUCCCUUCCUUCCGUCCUUAUUUGUUUCUUUUCUGUCUCUCCUCACUAAAAUGUGAACUGCAGGAGGUCAGAGCCAAUGUUUUAUUCAUGGUUGUAACCCCAGCAUCUAUAACAGUGCCUGGUGCAUAGUAGGUGCUUUAUAAAUAUUUGUUCAAUGAAUGAAUGAAGUCCAUUAAACUGGAUAAAUCCAAUUGUACUUAGAUUGUUAGUAGCCAGACGCCUCACAUUUUAGAGGAGUUCUAAUAGUUCAUCCCAUCUGCCAUCUCGUGCUACACAUAACUUAGGCUGGGUAAAUGGGUUUCCUCAUUGCCAGCAAGUCCCUGGGCAGGAAGUGCCACAGCACCGUCAGCUGCUUACGCAUUAUGUUUGCCAUGCUGUUCCUUUUGACUCUUGUUAGUGCACUGGCUUCUUACAGCCUGGCUAGCUUCAGGAACUGUAUGAAAUAGCAGUUCAAGCCUUGUGGAGAUGAUUUGAGGAUUUGUUUCAAUUUAUGAGUUCUUUGGACCAGUCUUCUCUCCCUUUCAAAGCAGGUCUGGAACCAUCAUGUGGUAAACCCUGUCGAUGCAUUUUCAUCUCGUACUUGCUGGUUCAUUACACUGUCUGGUUUGCAUGGUGCCCCAGUAGAUUGUCAGCUCAUCUGUAUAGCAGUUUAUUCCAUCUGCAAUGCUUCAUUAUUUUCGAAGAAAAAUGCUAUUCGCCCUUGAGCAUGGCUGCAGAUCUUGCUCUGCUGGGGUGCUGGAGAUGAAGCAGCUCUGCAGAUGAAUGCUUGCUUGAGGCCCAGGAAGUGGAAUUUAGUACCUUUCUGAAAUUGAGUGCUUUGGGUAGGAUGGUUAUCUGGAAUAUCUAGGGCAUCCAGGAUGGAAACAAGAGACGCUCUAAGUCUAACUGUAGAACAAGGGCAAGGGGAGGGUGGGAAGAAUGGCAAGUAUGUACCAGGGACUGUGUUGUGCAGUUAUCUCAUUUAAUCCCCUGGCAAACCAAAGGAGAAAACCGGUGCUCAUUGAUUUAAAUACCCACCAGUGAAUAGGCUGAGCUAGUGACUCAACAGACCUGGCUGACAUCAAAGGCCAUGACUUUUUUCACUAUACUGUGCAGCUCCCAGGACAGUGCCUGGUACAUCAGGGAGUGUUCAUUGAAUGAAUGAGUGAAUGAGUGAACGAACGUUGAACAAGCUUGGUUUUACUUCUUUGUGAUUUCCAUUUUAAUGGCCUCUUUUGCACUCUACUCCAGAACUGUCAGCUACCUAGCUCUCCUCCGUGACUUUGGUGCUCCUUGUGGGUCUGCCCUUCUCUUAACUUGAUGAUCCAUUUUUCACCUUGCAUACUCAGCUCCCCUCCCAUUUAGAUCUCUGGUUUUGCUCCUACUCUUUUCGGAACCUUAGCUAAGAAGUUGGUAAAAUAAGGUGUGCCUCAAUGUUUAUGGUGAUCAUUAUGCACUUACCACGGUCGGGAAGAAUUGCUUUAUGCAAAAGUUUAUCUCUGAGAACAGUUAUUUCGAGGACAGUUGUAGUUAGGUAGAGGGUAGACUUUGGGUGGGAGGGAAUUUGAAUGUCUUUCAAAUCAUCCAAGGCUGUCUGCUGCUUAUUCUACUUAUGCUGAGUGCAGUGAAAUUGAGAGGGAAUCCUAGGUACAAGGAGGCUGUGUUUGGGAGAUAGAACAGGGGAUUUAAGGAUAUCCCAGCUCUGAGGAAGGAACCAUCAGCUGGCAGACCAAGACGUUUAAGCUUCCAGUGCUGAAGAAUGAAAACAAAAUGUCUUCUCCAGAUUCCGUCCCUUAAAGAAUUUAAUGAAUAGAAUGGGGAUUUGUUUUCCUAGCUCUUUAAGAAAAUGUGGCUCUGUGUAUAACAAUCUACCAUAUUGUAAGAACCUAUCCGUCAUAAAUAGGGAGGUUUAGGAACAGAGCUUUGAAGCCUUAAAAGCUCCAAAACUACUGCAUCAAUGGUGCUCACUUCACACCACCUCCCAGCCCUCCAGGGGUGCCUCCUUCCUGAAGACCGACCCCAGGAUCUGAGAAGUGUAGAACCUUAGAGGCUGGCCACUCCUGUUUCCUCCCAGUGCGAGAAUCUCCCCAGGGCCGACCUGUGGCCGGCCGGUGGUGUGGCAGGGUGGUUGGGUUCGUGCACUCUGCUUCCGCGGCCCAGGGUUUUGCUGGUUCGAAUCCUGGGCCUGGACAUGGUGCUGCUCGUGGGCCAUAUUGGGGCGGCGUCCCACGUGCCACAACUAGAAGGACUCACAACUAAAAAUACACAACUAUGUAUGGGGGUUGGAGGGCCUUUGGGGAGAAAAAGGAAAAAAAAAAAGAAUCUCUCCAAUAGUUUCUGUGACAUCAUCUUGAAAAUCGUCACCACCUAAAUCAGCCCAUUCAAUUGCUUCCAGGCUAGUAGGGUUAGGAAAUCCUCUUCUUAACUUGUGACUCCCACCUCUUAGUCUGUGUUUUGCCCUUGGGAGGAGAACAGAGUCAGUCCUCUGCCUCUGCCAGGCAUAGCUCUAGCAAUCUCUUGCUUCCAUUACAAGCCUGCAGAGGGUUAAUUAUGCAUGCAGCUCUGCUCUGCAGAGGAAAAGCACAAAAGGCAGUGUUGAAUUAAAGUCACAGAAGCAGUACUUUCUAGCUAAUGGUACUGCCCCUCAUCCCCAAACAGGUAAGUGGGGGUAAAACGUACAAACAUGAAUCACAAUUUUUCUGUUGACUUUGUGACAGACUUUCUGCCUCUGGGCCGCUGCACCCUCAUUUGGAGUUUCUGGCUUUACCUUCAAUGACUCUAAGUGCCGUCAAAAUAACCCCUGCUCUGUGUGUGUGUGUGUGUGUAUGGUGAGGACUAGGGUGGGGUAAGGUGUUAGGAGGGAAGAAGGCUGGAGAUCUAGAUUAUUCUAUAAUUGACAAAGAAGGAAGACCCUUCUGAAAUUUUUGCAGAGUCCUCAAAGAUGCUGCACAGACCGUAGCCAUAGUCACUAAAUUUGAUUCAUCAUUGAAGACAGAGUCCAACUUUUAAAUGUUCUCCCUCUGGACACAGCAUCAUUCAUGUGUUUAGUUGGUAUUUACUGAAUGCCCACUGAAUGGAUAAUCCUAUUGCUUGUUCUGCAUGGAAUACAUUAUCUAAGCCACCUGCGAAUUUGAGAUUGACUAGGAGAGAAAAGUCAGUGAUAUCAGUAAAAUCGUAGUAAUUGUAGCUACCAUUUAUUGAGUGCCUACUCACUAGACAGAUAGUAUAUAAUUCAUGUAACCCCUGUUCCCACCACCUUUCACUGUAAUAUCCUUACAAAGUGGAUAUUAUCAGAGGGUCUGCAACCAGCACGUGUCUGAGCUGGAACUGGAGUCCAGGCUUUUCUGACAGCAUAGCCUUGGUUCUUUCUGUGAAACUACACUGUCUCCCCACAGGGACAGGGACAGAAACCAGUUACAAGGCAGCAACAGCAGCUUUGUACUGAAAGCACUGUGAGUUCAAUCCAGUCCACACAACCUCACUGAGCAUGUAGACAUCUCAUUGGGUAAGUUUAGUCUAGGCAGACGUCCUGGAGGAGGUGUCUCCUUGGCUAAAUCAUAUAAGGAAUGCAGAAUUCGAAUUCAUGGGGAAAUCACUUGGGCUUGCCUUGGAUUUGGUUUGCUUAGGGAUCAAACACAACUGACAAAUGGAAAAGCUCCCCUCCUUCCACUUCCCUCCCUUUUUCCUUCAGUAAGGAGAGAAAGUCUAACUUAAAGCAAGUGGGGAGGGGUCUCUUUUUGUCUGUGCUGAGGUAGAAAAACCCAUCUCCCUAUUCAUCUUCUUCCUCCCUCUCCCCUUAGACUGGAGUUCCCAUCCUGCACUUUGUGGUUUUCACUUAACGAAUGUUAAUGAGAUGGCAUUGUAAUCACCGGAUUUUAUAAAUAUCUCAUCCACAAAUUGGACCACAAAACCCAAAUGAGCCAGCUGAGCAUCUAUAUUCCAUGAGCCUGUGUUUUCCCCACAGUCUUAACCAAAGGAUGUAAAACGUGUUCUUGCUUUGAAGCUGUUCAGGCCCAUGGGUGUUAGAUGCUGAGGACAACUGCUGUUUGCCUGGCCCUAACUCAAGUGGCUUGUUGGGUAUGAGCCUUUCACACAGUCCUGGGUGAUGUAAGGGAUUUAGGCUUGAUCAAUUAUACCCUUUUCAAGUUAACGCUAGAAAAAUGAGAAAUUGAUUUUUUUGACGAAACAAUAUUUUAGAAAUUCAGGAUAUAAAAAUGGGAUUUGACCUCUCUUAUCAAGUCAGCUCUCAUCAUGAUGAUUACAGUCUCCAAUUAUGCCAUAUUUUGUAUGUCAUGGCCGAAUGCGAUCAGCUUGUCAGAUUUGUUCGGGGAGAGGGUAGAGCAAUGAUAAUGCAUCCAGCUGUGACUGCUUUGUGGUGUGAAGGGGAGAACCUGGAGGAUCCAUCUUGUUUGGCAAAUCUGCUGGAGUGAGCAUCCUCAGACACGGGCAUCAGAUUCUAACAAUCCUGCUUAAUCUCUUUGCAGAGAUCUAAUGAGCAAAAGCUAUAUUGAGUAAUUUUUCUGGUGCUUCGUUAUUUUUACCUGGUAUUUCUUACUUUUACCCAAUAUGCUCCUAUUAUUAUACUCAAAUUGUAACCGAAUAAGAAGCGAAGAGCUUACGUACAUUGCAGACAGUCUGUUGACUUACUGGUAGGUUAAACAGCAUUUUGAAGGUAGGACCAAGCUUGACUCACUUUUUAUCCUCAGCACCUAGCACACUGCUCGGCCCAUAGAAAGGACUUAAUUCAGGUUCAUUGAAUACUUUAAAGAGUAAUCCAGCCUUGGAACUGUCUGGAGAAUAGUCCUCAGGCUUCUCCACUGCAGUAAUAUGAAAGAAACCCCAAUUCUUUAAAAUUCGCCAGAAAAAAAUGUUGCUUGCUUUGGGUAAGUGACUGUUUGCAAGGUGGUUAGUUAAUACAAACAUUCGAGUGAUUGGAUAACUGAAAUAAAAAGUAAGUAUAACGGAAGGAGAACAUGACAGAUUUUGUUAAAGAUAAC
rnacentral:lncRNA from 1 species